rnacentral:rRNA from 1 species
CUGCGGAAGGAUCAUUACCGAGUUUUCGGGCUUCGGCUCGACUCUCCCACCCUUUGUGAACGUACCUCUGUUGCUUUGGCGGCUCCGGCCGCCAAAGGACCUCCAAACUCCAGUCAGUAAACGCAGACGUCUGAUAAACAAGUUAAUAAACUAAAACUUUCAACAACGGAUCUCUUGGUUCUGGCAUCGAUGAAGAACGCAGCGAAAUGCGAUAAGUAAUGUGAAUUGCAGAAUUCAGUGAAUCAUCGAAUCUUUGAACGCACAUUGCGCCCCUUGGUAUUCCGGGGGGGAUGCCUGUUCGAGCGUCAUUACAACCCUCAAGCUCUGCUUGGAAUUGGGCACCGUCCUCACUGCGGACGCGCCUCAAAGACCUCGGCGGUGGCUGUUCAGCCCUCAAGCGUAGUAGAAUACACCUCGCUUUGGAGUGGUUGGCGUCGCCCGCCGGACGAACCUUCUGAACUUUUCUCAAGGUUGACCUCGGAUCAGGUAGGGAUACCCGCUGAACUUAAGCAUAUCA